GCAAACUGCAACCCCUGCCCACGUGGAGGGCCAAAGAAGGGUACCUAGCUUUUUUUGAUCUCGGAAGCUAAGCAGGGUUAGGUUUGGUUAGUACUUGGAUGGGAGACUGCCUGGGAAUACCAGAUGCUGUAGGCG
rnacentral:rRNA from 1 species